rnacentral:lncRNA from 1 species
GAGCUGCGACAUACACGAGGAGCCUGAAAACUAUGACGACGACCAAUCUGGCGAUGACCAACCACUCUACCCCAAAACCAACAAGCAACACAAGAGAGCAGACAAGAAGAAAAAAGAGAAGCCAACUCAGCAGUUUCCUUCCAUCCCCACAACCUCAGAGUCUGUCCAGGAAAGUGCUGAGAGGGCCGAGUCCUCUCUCCGCACAUCUUCCACCAUUCCACAACCAGGUAAGGAAAGCUCUCCUUAUUCAAUAAUUUUAUUUAUUUAUUCAUUUAUUUUUUACUGAAAUUAUUGUUUUUUUUCUUCUUGGUGCAGGAGUGAGUCCUUUCGUGAGCAGCGAACUUCCAGUAGUUAGCAGUAUAUUCUUGAAGUCUGACAGCUUAAAUGCUCUGAAAAGAGCACCGACGUCUCCUCCGAGUACAUCAAAACGACCCAAAGUUAGUCUCCCAGCCAGCAUUUCAGGCACUUUGGAAAAAAGAGACACAUACGCCCCAUCUGAUGUGGAGAAUGCAGACAACACCACCAACGUUUCAAUUUUGGAGUCCUGUAGCACACCAAAGCCAGCAAAGCCUGUGUAUGAUGUCAGUCAAGUGAAAAAGGAAAAGACAGAAGAGCGUGAAAAUAAUGUAUGCAAACUGGAUUGCACUGACGACACUGCAGUCGACGUCCCGUCAGAACAAACCACUCCAAGAUGUCCAACAGAAACGCUCAAUAGCCUGAAGGAGGAAAAACCAAGCCUGGCAUCUGAAUGUGAAAAGCUGCGAUACCAACAGCAACAAGCUGACGAGACAAGAUCCCAAACAAGAAGUGUUGAUUUUUCUGCACCGACGCAAGCAGAAAAUCCAAGAGGAUCAGCUGAACCUAAGAUACGCUUCAUUUCUGAAGACAGGAGGAGGUUUGUCCAUUUAUAAACCAUUUCCCUAUUUAAAGACUCUGAUGACAGUAAAAACUUCUCUGAAUUUAAAUUUAAAACCUUUUUUUUUUUCUCGUUUAGUUUGAUUGAACUGCGUCAAAAUGACUGGCGUCUUCUCGUCCUCUGCGCGCCAGUACUUGAACCGGUGCAAGUAGAUUAUGAAUCUAACAACAUUGAUGAAAUCCUGAAAAAGCACCUGGACAGAUCAGAUCACAAAGUUUCCAAGUGAUACUUCUCUUCCUUGAAAAUGAAGACAAGUUUUUACAAAUGAAAAAGGCGGAGCACUGAUCAUGACGGUCCUGCAUGAACCUGACCUGAACUUUCUUAAUAAUCUUAAAAAUAAUGUCUGUGUGGAAAUUAAGUUGUGUUUAUUCAAAAUUAUGUGUCAUCAUUACCUGUUUUUUUUAUUUUUAUUUUUUUUUUUUUUUUAUGAAAAUUGCAUUUCAUAGCUAAAAAGCUUCCUCUCCUUUUUAUUAACUUCAGCAUCUGAGUGUAUUUCCUCUUCCUAACUGGGAUUUGUAGAAUCUUUAAUAGUGUGUUUUAAGUCUCACUCCAACCACAUUUGUAUAUUCAAAAUUUGUUCCCAGUGGUCGUUUAAUUAUUAUUAUUCAGUUUUUAGCCAAAAUCAUAAAGCCUGUGUUGUUUUUUAAGGAAUAUUUUCUUCAGAGCAGCAGGAGCUCAUUAGAAAUUCACCUUUGAGUUGUGGGCGGGACUGUUGGCAAGGAAGUAACCUUACACUGAUAUCCCAUCAUUCCUUUGUUGACAUUCUCUCCAGCUAGCUUACACCCCCAAGCUAACAUUAGCGUAGCAACAAAAACAAAAAUGGCUAGCAAUAUCAGAUCUAUCCAGCUUUUCAAUUUUGACCCAAAUCCCAGCUUGGAUGAUAAAUAUUAAGACGUUAAUGGAUAUAUUUGUUUGCAAGAGGGUGGAUCUGAGAUUUCUCAAACGGCGAGUUUUUAUCUGCCCGUGACCACGUUUCACAAUUUAAAUUAAGAAGUACUCAGAAACACAGUUUUAAUUUUAAUUUAUUUUAUCUAUAUCCUUCAUUGUGAGAAAAAUGCUACAAAUACACGAUUUUCAUUGGACUGGGUCAUUAAAGAUAUUGAUAUCGUUUGUUUCAGGGUGAAAUUGUGAUGUGUUUUAUCAUAUUUAGUGGGGAUGGAGUAGAACUGUUUAGUUUUGGCCUAAAUAAAUCAAAUUAGAUUCCUGGUUGAACAGUUUCAGUUGCAAUAAUCUCCAGAUCCAGGUUCAUCUGAACACUGUAAAUCACAGAGGAUGUGGAAGCAUUGCACUUUGUUAUGAAGAUGUGAGUACAGAAACUGGGACAGGAUGUUUGAUUUUUUUUAAAGACAAAUUCUAACAGUUUUAUUUGACUUUUAUAUUCUGUGUGUUUUAUUGAUUUUAUUUUGUGCAAAUUGUUAAAUGUUGAGAUAGCUUAAGUAAUCUUAAACCAAAUUGUUUGAUCAUAUGAAUAAUUAUGAUAAUAUUGACCCCAUGCUACUCAUGGCUGUAUUCCUCGUGUUUGAUGUUAAUACUAUUAUGUAUUUCUGUCUUUUUUCACUUAUUUCAAAACAUGUUUACUUUCUUAAAAAUGGAAACUGAACACUUCUUCAUUCAUGAGGUAUCCCCCUACCUUCCAUGUUUUUGUUAAAAAGAGACUUUACUACCCCCUCCUAAACUCAUCCACACUUCUUCAGGUAUGCUGUCAGGUAUGUAUGUCCACCUUCUCCUCUAUGCUCUAUAGCUCUAUAACAUUUACUUCAAUCCUCCUCUCCCCAAGUUCUUCUUCUAUUUUGGUUCUGUACUGAUUUUUUUGUUUUUUAUAACUUGUCCUGUCCAACUGCUAAGCAAACAGAUACGAGCUGAGAGCUGAAGAAGAAAAGAAGAAGAGAGAGGUUGGGGGGGCUGUAAAAGAGGGGAAUUUAGAGAAAAGAGAAAAUGGUAACAGAGGGAGGUAACAAUCAUUCUGUCACACAUACUAUUAGUGCGAAGGUGAGCUGACACCUGUGCUCAGGUGUGUGCGCUUGUGUUUUGUUGAGAUGACUGAUGAUGGAAUGUACAGAAGGGGACAGUGCCCGACCAUCCCCACACCAAGACCCUAUGCUGGGGAGGCACCAGCAGCCCGUAGCCCCAUACACCCACCAUGAGGCUGCAAAAAGAAUCUGCUCGCCGGGCAAUCCCGCCAAACACCCAGACCAGGGCACGCGGGACCGCCGCAUGAGGCCCCCCACGCCCGAGAGAGGGAAGACAAAAUAGCACAGAGAGUACAGGCCCCAGCCCAGCCAGAAGAGCAUCCCCCCGCCCUAUGAGUCAGGGCCCCCCAAGGGAGAUCUGCUCCGAUGCACCAGACAACCGCCCACCCCCGCCGUGGGGGGUUCCAGGAGAGAAUGAGGCGGGGGCCGCCCAUCCCCGCCCAGGAGCGACACCCAAGAGAAAUGGGGGCUCUGAAGGAGUGUAGUAAACAAGGUCCGAUCAGGCUGAUCCAUUGAUGGAGUUGUUGGAGAGCUGGUAGACUGACCCCCGAUGGUGUGUCUGAAUCUCCACUAUGUUCAAAACUUGUUGAAUUUAACUUCAUUAAAUGCAAAUUGUAAUUGUUUAUUGCUUUCCAAUUGUUUUAAAAUUGUAGUUACUUGCCUAAUACAUUUAAAAAAUUGCAACCUUCAACACAUAAAGAGCCA